UCAUGAGCUGACAUAGCUUUAGUC
rnacentral:snRNA from 1 species